GCUGGCACCUGGGCAUUUGGCCCGAGCCAUCCUCCUCCUGAAUGGAAGGGCGCACGACCACAGUGAAGUCUACACCAUUGAACCUGUUGGUUCCCACUCUGUUCUGGUAGGGAUCCCGGGAUCUGACAUCAGGAAUCUGGUCAGGACUGGAGCACUCCUCAGUAUGUAGCAGCCUCAUGCCCACGUUCCUGAGCCCAAGGCCUGCAGACAACCCGAGGGACUUGGCCCCCAGCCCAGAGAAUGCCCUGGAGCGGUGAGGAACAUGCGUUUGGUGUUGAUUGUUUUGUAUGAUCUGCGCUCUCCUGUGCUCUACGUGAUGAAGUAUAAAAGUGCAUUAAUGUGU